CGGGCGUGAUGAACCGAUCAGAUAGAUGAGGCUGCGGGUGCUCCCGGCCGCUGAGUAUCGAGGCGAUUCUGAUCCG